rnacentral:rRNA from 1 species
CAGCGAAACUGCGAAUGGCUCAUUAAAUCAGUUAUCGUUUAUUUGAUAGUACCUUACUACUUGGAUAACCGUGGUAAUUCUAGAGCUAAUACAUGCUAAAAACCCCGACUCACGAAGGGGUGUAUUUAUUAGAUUAAAAACCAAUGCCCUUCGGGGCUCUUUGGUGAUUCAUAAUAACUUUUCGAAUCGCAUGGCCUUGCGCCGGCGAUGGUUCAUUCAAAUUUCUGCCCUAUCAACUUUCGAUGGCAGGGUCUUGGCCUGCCAUGGUUACAACGGGUAACGGAGGGUUAGGGCUCGACCCCGGAGAAGGAGCCUGAGAAACGGCUACUACAUCCAAGGAAGGCAGCAGGCGCGCAAAUUACCCAAUCCCGAUUCGGGGAGGUAGUGACAAUAAAUACUGAUACAGGGCUCUUUUGGGUCUUGUAAUUGGAAUGAGUACAAUUUAAAUCCCUUAACGAGGAACAAUUGGAGGGCAAGUCUGGUGCCAGCAGCCGCGGUAAUUCCAGCUCCAAUAGCGUAUAUUAAAGUUGUUGCAGUUAAAAAGCUCGUAGUUGAACCUUGGGCCUGGCUGGCCGGUCCGCCUCACCGCGUGCACUGGUUCGGCCGGGCCUUUCCCUCUGGGGAACCUCAUGGUCUUCACUGAUCGUGAUGGGGAACCAGGACUUUUACUGUGAAAAAAUUAGAGUGUUCAAAGCAGGCCUAUGCUCGAAUACAUUAGCAUGGAAUAAUAAAAUAGGACGUGUGGUUCUAUUUUGUUGGUUUCUAGGACCGCCGUAAUGAUUAAUAGGGACAGUCGGGGGCAUCAGUAUUCAAUUGUCAGAGGUGAAAUUCUUGGAUUUAUUGAAGACUAACUACUGCGAAAGCAUUUGCCAAGGAUGUUUUCAUUAAUCAGGAACGAAAGUUAGGGGAUCGAAGACGAUCAGAUACCGUCGUAGUCUUAACCAUAAACUAUGCCGACUAGGGAUCGGACGGUGUUACUUAUUGACCCGUUCGGCACCUUACGAGAAAUCAAAGUCUU